rnacentral:lncRNA from 10 species
GGCCUGGGAACGUGGCUGGUUGGAGGAGGUAGAUCACCCUUUCUGCGGGGGACGAUUUCGUCGGUGGUAGGCUGCUACCAUGAGGUUGAAUCAGAACACCUUGCUGCUGGGGAAGAAGGUGGUCCUUGUACCCUACACCUCGGAGCAUGUGCCCAGGUAUCUUUCCCGCUUGACAUGGGGUGCGUAUCAGCACCCAGAGCUGUGUAAGGUACAGCCCCAGUCUCAGGGCUAUUUCCCCUAAGAAGAAACAUUGGUUGUGAGAAAUAAUUAUAUAUGAGGGGGGAAAAAAGGCUGGGUGCCGUGGCUCACGCCUGUAAUUCCAGGACUUUGGGAGGCUGUGGCAGGAGGAUUGCUUGAGCCCAGCAGUUCGAGACCAGCUUGGGUAACGUAGCGAGACCUUGUCUCUACAAAAAAAUAC